AAGACGUGCGCAGGCGGUUAUGUAAGACAGAUGUGAAAUCCCCGGGCUCAACCUGGGAACUGCAUUAGUGACUGCAUAGCUGGAGUACGGCAGAGGGGGAUGGAAUUCCGCGUGUAGCAGUGAAAUGCGUAGAUAUGCGGAGGAACACCGAUGGCGAAGGCAAUCCCCUGGGCCUGUACUGACGCUCAUGCACGAAAGCGUGGGGAGCAAACAGGAUUAGAUACCCGGGU
rnacentral:rRNA from 1 species